rnacentral:tRNA from 1 species
AGAAAUAUAGGCUAAACAACAAACCACGGGCCUUCAAAGCCCAAACUGUGUUAAACACUAUUUCUG